UAUUUUAAAUGGACCACUUAUCACAGUUGAUAAUUCAGGUCAACUGCAUUACCGAUAUCAUAUCAUAUUUUACAUUGUUAUUGUUUAGAUUAAUUACCUGCAGAUUAAUUAAUUAAUAUGAUAUGAUAUCGGCAAUGCAGUGUCUUGAUGAUAGAACUGAUUAGGAGCAAAGAUGUCAAGCUGAGGAUUAUCAAUAGAACUUAAGAGGAGGCCGGAGAAGGCAUUACCUACCAAAAAAUGGUGGAAUCGUUAACCGAAGAGGAAAAGAAAUCUUUAACCGAACUGGAACAGAAGAUAACGGAGCGCAGUCUACUGGAC
rnacentral:lncRNA from 1 species